CCUACGGGUGGCAGCAGUGAGGAAUAUUGGUCAAUGGGCGCGAGCCUGAACCAGCCAAGUCGCGUGAAGGAUGACUGCCCUACGGGUUGUAAACCUCUUUUAUAAAGGAAUAAAGUGCGGCACGUGUGCCUUUUUGCGUGUACUUUAUGAAUAAGGAUCGGCUAACUCCGUGCCAGCAGCCGCGGUAAUACGGAGGGUCCGAGCGUUAUCCGGAUUUAUUGGGUUUAAAGGGUGCGUAGAUGGGUUGUUAAGUCAGGUGGUAAAGUUUGCGGCUCAACCGUAACAGUGCAGUUGAGACUGGCAGCCUUGAGUACAGGAGAGGUAGGCGGAAUUCGCGGUGUAGCGGUGAAAUGCUUAGAUAUCGCGAAGAACUCCGAUUGCGAAGGCAGCGUACUAAAGUGAGACUGACAUUGAGGCUCGAAAGUGUGGGUAUCAAACAGGAUUAGAUACCCCAGUAGUC
rnacentral:rRNA from 1 species